GAUGAAGAACGUAGCGAAAUGCGAUAAGUAAUGUGAAUUGCAGAAUUCAGUGAAUCAUCGAAUCUUUGAACGCACAUUGCGCCCAUUAGUAUUCUAGUGGGCAUGCCUGUUCGAGCGUCAUUAAGUCCACUUAAGCCCUGCUUAGUGUUGGGAGACUGCUCCAGCGGUGCUACCCUGUAGCUACCCUGCAGCUCCUCAAAGACAGCGGCGGAGUUGUGGUAUCCUCUGAGCUUAGUAACUUGUUCUACCUUUCGAGUACACCACUUCCCCUGCCGUAAAACCCUUAAUUUUUAAUGGUUGACCUCGGAUCAGGUAGGAAUACCCGCUGAACUUAAGCAUAUCAAUAAGCGGAGGA
rnacentral:misc_RNA from 1 species